GCCUACGGGGGGCAGCAGUGGGGAAUAUUGCACAAUGGGGGAAACCCUGAUGCAGCGACGCCGCGUGGGCGAGGAAGUACCUCGGUAUGUAAAGCCCUAUCAGCAGGGAAGAAACAGGACAGUACCUGACUAAGAAGCCCCGGCUAACUACGUGCCAGCAGCCGCGGUAAUACGUAGGGGGCAAGCGUUAUCCGGAUUUACUGGGUGUAAAGGGAGCGUAGGCGGCAGUGCAAGUCAGAAGUGAAAGCCCGGGGCUCAACUCCGGGACUGCUUUUGAAACUGUACAGCUUGAUUGCAGGAGAGGC
rnacentral:rRNA from 1 species